rnacentral:rRNA from 1 species
AUUGAACGCUGGCGGCAGGCCUAACACAUGCAAGUCGAGCGGUAGCACAGAGAGCUUGCUCUCGGGUGACGAGCGGCGGACGGGUGAGUAAUGUCUGGGAAACUGCCUGAUGGAGGGGGAUAACUACUGGAAACGGUAGCUAAUAUCGCAUAAUGUCGCAAGACCAAAGUGGGGGACCUUCGGGCCUCAUGCCAUCAGAUGUGCCCAGAUGGGAUUAGCUAGUAGGUGGGGUAACGGCUCACCUAGGCGACGAUCCCUAGCUGGUCUGAGAGGAUGACCAGCCACACUGGAACUGAGACACGGUCCAGACUCCUACGGGAGGCAGCAGUGGGGAAUAUUGCACAAUGGGCGCAAGCCUGAUGCAGCCAUGCCGCGUGUGUGAAGAAGGCCUUCGGGUUGUAAAGCACUUUCAGCGGGGAGGAAGGCGGUGAGGUUAAUAACCUCAUCGAUUGACGUUACCCGCAGAAGAAGCACCGGCUAACUCCGUGCCAGCAGCCGCGGUAAUACGGAGGGUGCAAGCGUUAAUCGGAAUUACUGGGCGUAAAGCGCACGCAGGCGGUCUGUCAAGUCGGAUGUGAAAUCCCCGGGCUCAACCUGGGAACUGCAUUCGAAACUGGCAGGCUAGAGUCUUGUAGAGGGGGGUAGAAUUCCAGGUGUAGCGGUGAAAUGCGUAGAGAUCUGGAGGAAUACCGGUGGCGAAGGCGGCCCCCUGGACAAAGACUGACGCUCAGGUGCGAAAGCGUGGGGAGCAAACAGGAUUAGAUACCCUGGUAGUCCACGCCGUAAACGAUGUCGAUUUGGAGGUUGUGCCCUUGAGGCGUGGCUUCCGGAGCUAACGCGUUAAAUCGACCGCCUGGGGAGUACGGCCGCAAGGUUAAAACUCAAAUGAAUUGACGGGGGCCCGCACAAGCGGUGGAGCAUGUGGUUUAAUUCGAUGCAACGCGAAGAACCUUACCUGGUCUUGACAUCCACAGAACUUUCCAGAGAUGGAUUGGUGCCUUCGGGAACUGUGAGACAGGUGCUGCAUGGCUGUCGUCAGCUCGUGUUGUGAAAUGUUGGGUUAAGUCCCGCAACGAGCGCAACCCUUAUCCUUUGUUGCCAGCGGUUAGGCCGGGAACUCAAAGGAGACUGCCAGUGAUAAACUGGAGGAAGGUGGGGAUGACGUCAAGUCAUCAUGGCCCUUACGACCAGGGCUACACACGUGCUACAAUGGCAUAUACAAAGAGAAGCGACCUCGCGAGAGCAAGCGGACCUCAUAAAGUAUGUCGUAGUCCGGAUUGGAGUCUGCAACUCGACUCCAUGAAGUCGGAAUCGCUAGUAAUCGUAGAUCAGAAUGCUACGGUGAAUACGUUCCCGGGCCU